rnacentral:rRNA from 1 species
GAUGAACGCUGGCGGCGUGCCUAAUACAUGCAAGUCGAGCGAACAGAUGAGGAGCUUGCUCCUCUGACGUUAGCGGCGGACGGGUGAGUAACACGUGGAUAACCUACCUAUAAGACUGGGAUAACUUCGGGAAACCGGAGCUAAUACCGGAUAAUAUAUUGAACCGCAUGGUUCAAUAGUGAAAGACGGUUUUGCUGUCACUUAUAGAUGGAUCCGCGCCGCAUUAGCUAGUUGGUAAGGUAACGGCUUACCAAGGCAACGAUGCGUAGCCGACCUGAGAGGGGGGUCCGGCACACUGGAACUGAGACCCGGUCCCGGCCCCUAAGGGAGGGAGGAGUAGGGAAACUUCCGCAAUGGGCGAAAGCCUGACGGGGCAACGCCGGGGGAGUGAUGAAGGUCUUCGGAUCGUAAAACUCUGUUAUUAGGGAAGAACAAAUGUGUAAGUAACUAUGCACGUCUUGACGGUACCUAAUCAGAAAGCCACGGCUAACUACGUG